GAAGACCUACCAUCAACCUUUUACAAGAGCAAGAAGCAGAAACUUGUGAAACAAUUGCCUUUAACUUCUAUAUGCUUAGAAACAGAUUCACCUGCACUAGGACCAGAAAAACAGGUACGGAAUGAGCCCUGGAACAUUUCUAUUUCAGCAGAAUAUAUUGCCCAGGUGAAAGGGAUCUCAGUGGAAGAAGUUAUAGAAGUGACGACACAGAAUGCAUUAAAACUGUUUCCUAAGCUCCGACACUUGCUCCAGAAAUAGCUUCAAAACCAUCCAUUACAAAAUCGAAUCAACUGCAGGGGGCAGCAUUUGAAAAAUAGAAAUGUUCUGAUGAAGAAUCUGAACUGAAGAAGCUGUUUUAUAGGGUUAUAGAAGAUUGUAAUUGUAGAGAAAUAUUUCUCUUAGAAAUAAAACUGGGCUUGGAUCCUGAAACCCUGGGUUCUGAUUCUAGCCUUGUGCUGCUUUUCAAUUAGCCGAGUUCUGGCAGGAUAUUGGGAAAAUACUGCUACUUCUUACAUUGCCCUUUUAUAUAGAACCACCACCUGAACUGAAACCAUUGCUACUGGGAAGGGUGGCUCCCACAGGAAGAGUAUAAGCACUACUGUGAUGAGGAUGGAGUAAGCUAAAGUAUACUUUUUUUUUUUUUUGAUGGAGUUUCGCUGUUGUUGCCCAGGCUGGAGUGCAAUGGCACGAUCUUGGCUCACUGCAACCUCCACUUCCCAGGUUCUAGCGAGUCUCCUCCCUCAGCCUCCCAAGUAGCUGGGAUUACAGGCAUGUGCCACCAUGCCCAGCUAAUUUUGUAUUUUUAGUAGAGACAGGGUUUCUCCAUGUUGGUCAGGCUGGUCUCGAACUCCCGACCUCAGGUGAUCCGCCCGCCUCGGCCUCCCAAAGUGCUGGGAUUACAGGCAUGAGCCACUGCGCCAGCCUAAAGUGUGUUCUUACCACCUAU
rnacentral:lncRNA from 10 species